GACGAACGCUGGCGGCGUGCCUAAUACAUGCAAGUUGAGCGCUGAAGGUUGGUACUUGUACCAACUGGAUGAGCAGCGAACGGGUGAGUAACGCGUGGGGAAUCUGCCUUUGAGCGGGGGACAACAUUUGGAAACGAAUGCUAAUACCGCAUAAAAACUUUAAACACAAGUUUUAAGUUUGAAAGAUGCAAUUGCAUCACUCAAAGAUGAUCCCGCGUUGUAUUAGCUAGUUGGUGAGGUAAAGGCUCACCAAGGCGAUGAUACAUAGCCGACCUGAGAGGGUGAUCGGCCACAUUGGGACGGAGACACGACCCAAACUCCUACGGGAGGCAGCAGUAGGGAAUCUUCGGCAAUGGACGAAAGUCUGACCGAGCAACGCCGCGUGAGUGAAGAAGGUUUUCGGGUCGUAAAACUCUGUUGGUAGAGAAGAACGUUGGUGAGAGUGGAAAGCUCAUCAAGUGACGGUAACUACCCAGAAAGGGACGGCUAACUACGUG
rnacentral:rRNA from 1 species